AUCAGUGAAACUGAUCUCUCCGUGAAGAAGCGGGGAUACAAAUAUAAGACGAGAAGACCCCAUGGAGCUUUAAACCCAACGACACCCAUUUUCUUUAUACCCUAGUAUUCAUUUGGCUAUGUUUGAUUGGUUUUAGGUUGGGGUGACCACGGAGCAUAAAAUAACCUCCACGAAGAAGAGACUAAUAAUCUUUAUCAAAGAAGUACACUUCUAAGAAUUAACAAAUUAAUUUCCAAUGAUCCGAUAUUCGAUCAACGAACCAAGUUACCCUGGGGAUAACAGCGCAAUCCACCUCAAGAGCUCCUAUCGACAGGUGGGUUUACGACCUCGAUGUUGGAUCAGGAUAUCCCAGUGGUGUAGCAGCUACUAAAGGUUCGUUUGUUCAACGAUUAAAAUCCU
rnacentral:rRNA from 1 species